GUUGUUGCAGUUAAAAAGCUCGUAGUUGAAUUUCGAGAUCAAUUUGUUGGUCGUGCCUCGGUACGUACUGGCAAUUUUGAUUUCUCCCUUCUGAAGAACCAUGAUGUCAUUAAUUUGGUGUCAUGGGGAAUCAGGACCGUUACUUUGAAAAAAUUAGAGUGUUUAAAGCAGGCUCGCGCUUGAAUACAUUAGCAUGGAAUAAUGAAAUAGGACGUUUGAU
rnacentral:rRNA from 1 species